rnacentral:lncRNA from 1 species
UUGAAGAGUACAUCCUGCAGAGAGUAGCUUAAGCUAGAAAGGACUGCCUGUGACACCUGCCUGCUAUCUAUAAAACACUCAUUCCUCUUUCAACUCUGCCUGCAGCCGAACACAAAGACCUGGAGGAGACUCCCACAUCCUUCGGGGAGAAGAAAGGAGGCAGCGGCGCCGGUUCCGGGAGCUCGUGGCUCGUGGCCUUCGGGAGGGGGGAAGUGGAUCGCGGCGUUGGCGGCGGCGUUGGCGGCGGCGGGCGAGCCGUGAGAUGCGGCGGCGCCGCGGCGGCGCCUGCUGACACCCCGGUCCCCGGCGCCGGCCGCUGCCCUUUGUGCUUCGCGUACAUGUGUCAGCUCGGCGCAUCCGGAGGCGCGCGCACCGGAAUCCAACACGGCCG